CUGAUGCUGUUGGGCCUGCUAUGUUCAUCCAGCUCUACACCUUGUUAUUCAGAUUCUCCUGCAUCUGCAGUUCCUACUAUCUCAGGAAAUCCAUCAUGUUCUCCAGUUUUAGAGGCUUAAAAGAAAUGCCAGCAAGCAACAGUAUCAGAAUAAGAUUAUGCGAGCGAUUUUUCUCACGGAGCCAAGAAAGCAAUGUAUAAAUGCAAAAAGAUGUUCCAAAGUACCUAUUUAAUACAAUAACCAAAACCUGAGCAUGAUAGAUUAUAGCCACAAUGUUAGUCCAGUAAAAUUACACCAUUUUCAUGAACAGCACAAGUUGGGAAUGUACUUCUUGGGACUAGCUGGCAGGUUGUGGAUUUGUUUCUCAUGUGUGGUCCAGAGAUUACUUUUUCAGAAACAUGUUAACAAAAUAGACACAAAAAAACCUAACCAAUAUUUUGACUUUUGGAAGAACUGAAAGUAAACAACAAAUUUUGGAGUUACGAAGUCUCAUGCCAAGAAGUAUGUAUUGAUACGGCACGAGCAAGCAGUUGGAACGCUUGAUACGAAGGAUGAUGACUGCAGGACAUGAGGUGUAUUUCAGGAGAACUACAGCUGUAAUGGAAAAGCAGAAUCUGAUGAAGGAAACCCAUUUCACGCUGAUACUGUAUGUCAAGGGAGUAGUGAAUUCAUUAAAUAUUUGGUAAUUCUUUAUCCCACCCAAUGAUUCAGACAGUGGUGCAAAAGCAGAGCUCUAGCAGUUUAUAUUGGACUCUAGAGCUUGGAUGAUGGUUUUACACGCAUUCCCAAUUAUUUAUAAUUCUAUGUUGUUCUAGGAAAUCAUCUUUUCUAGGAAGUGGUAUUUCCUCCAGUGGAUUAGCUCUCUGCAAUGCCUUUUCAUGCAGCACUAAAUAGAGGAGUUUGUUGUGGAUUUUCAUAUCCUCUGAAAGUGAGGUACUUUCGGAACCUUUGUCACAAAGAUUGACAACAUUUUGAUAUCAAGUAAAAACAGAGCCUUCUGCUGGAAAGGAAUCCGUUUUGCAUUAUGAUUAUUAAUUUUGAUAUUCUCCUCUGCAGUUGUUGUCAAAAUGUCAUCUGUCAGCUUUUGUAAUAAAAGGUAGGCAAUGUGUUGAAAACUGCUAAAAGGAUUGAUAAGAGUGGAUCUGUUGAUUGGACAUAAGCAUUAAAAGCAAGUAAAAAAUGGCGUGAAGGCGAUAAUGCUUGUUUUUAAACAUUUAGUGCUCUGUAGUGGGGACAAAAAGGAACAAUGCAGGAAAGAAUGGAUUGUAGGAAAUUGUUGAGAGAUGCUUAAUUCGGGCUAUCACUAUUAGUUAAUGUGAUAUAUGUAAAAUGAAAGUCAUUUUUGCAAUUGCUUAGACUAAAAAUAUCUGAAAACUAGAGGGCAUGUAUCUGAGUUGCUUGUUCCCAACUUACUCCAUAAACCUAGCCUUUUGUUCAAGAAUAAGAUUAUGCAAAUUGAAAUCAUGUUCGUUACAAAAAUAGAAGUAUCCCUGUAAUGCAGAGUCUUUUAAUCUCUUUUGAAUGUCUCUCAUUUAAUUAGAUCUUUUGCUGAUCUGCACCUCAACUCUAAUUACCUGUUGUUACCCCAUGUCCCUCAACACCUUUGCACAGUGAACAGAAGCAAGCAGAGUUUGCUAAUAAGUCAUCUCUGAUACCAGUGAUACUAAUCAUUUGACCAAUGAAAAAGCUGUGUUCAGACCACAAAGGGGUGCUACUUCUGAGAAAGCUGAGUGAAGAUUUGUAUGAAGAGACAAUUAACGGAAGGCCAAUCACACUGUAUCAACCACCAGCCACAACUUUCUGGAUGAAAACGGAGUUUGAUUUAUCAUCUGCAUAUCAGCUUUUCUUUCACCUUCUUGCAUUAUCACGGAAAGCAAUGUUUGGCAAUAUUUAAAUGAUUUCCAUCCGGUUUAUUGUCAGAGCAAUAUUCCUGUCUGUUUCCUGUAGACAUUUUAAAAAAAAUUUUAAAAGCACUAUUUUGAACUGAAAUGUACUUGUCUUGAAAUGGAUCUUACUUUAUUUGUAAGUAUGACAUUGAUUGUUUGUCCUUUGUCCAAAGUACCUUAUUUGUUCUACAUGAUUGUGGUGACGUGGAAUGUAGUUUGUCACUUAAUUGGGUUUCCUGGCUGAAGUUUAGUGAUAAAUCUUUUGUUUUAAGUUAAUCUGCACACUGGCUGCUUUGUAAAAUGUCUGAUUUCUUAGCAAUCUUUAAUGUGGCAUAAUCUGAAGUGUGAUCAAGUAUGCAAGCUCAAAUUGAGCCUUUUGUAUAUUGAACUGUGAGCAUUCCUAGCGAUAUUUGAAACCCAAGUUUAGUUAUUCUUGUGUGGUGGAGCAGUUAUAUCAAUUAGUUGAUCAUUAGUACAUGUUUGUAGGAAAAUUAGCUCUCCAUUGUUGUAGUAUAACCAUAAUGAUCAGUGUUUACGUAGGGCAGGUCUAAUCCUGUAAAUUAACUGAGGAAUUUGUAGGAUGGCACAUUUAACUUUUUGGACAAAUGCAUUAACUUGGUUGUACAGUACUCUUGCACAUGCAAAAUUUAAGUAUGAAGCAACUUAACUGGCUGAACUAAAGGCAUUAAAAUAUGGAUGAAACAGUACAGUGCACUGAAGUAGGAUUGUUGUUUUGUUGGCUGCAACAUGCCUGUUCAAGUUUCCACUCCCAAGAUUCUAUCUUAACUGCUGUUCAAACUUUAACCAGGUUAAUCUCUAUAUAAGGAAUAUAUAAUUACUGUUUAUGCUGUAAGCAAUCCUCCAAGUAUUUCAAUUUUCUUAUAUUGGGCAGAUGUCUGCAAAUCUUAAUACUUUAAUUUCAGAGACUAGAGUCUAUAAACGUGAGGCAGGAAAAGUACAGCAUAUCAGUCAGCAUCCCAGAAGCAGAAAAGUCAACAUUUUGGGCUGAAACCUCUUGAUGUUCUUGCCCCUCAGAUACUGCCUGACCUGCUGUGCUCUUCCAGCUUCACACCCAUAUAGAUUCCAUAAAAUCCCUACAAUGUGGAAACAGGCCCUUCGGCCCAACAAGUUCACACCAACCCCCAGAACAUCCCACUCAGACCCCAUCCCCCUAAGCUAUGCAUCCCUGGACACUAUGGGAAAUUUAGCAUGGCCAAUCCACCCAGCUGAACAUCUUUGGACUGUGGGAGGAAACCAGAGCACCCAGAGGAAACCCAUGACGUGGGGAGAAUGUGCAAACUCCACACAGCCCGAGAGUGGAAUUGAUCCCAGAUCCUUGGUGCUGUGAGGCAGCAGUGCUAGCCACUGAGCCACCGUGCCGCCCCACAUACUCUGGCUUCUAGCAUCAGUAGUCCUUAUUGUCUCCAAUUUCCGAGAGUACUUUGCCCAGUAAAAUGCUUUGUUUCCAGGCAAGUGUCCCUAAAUGUUCUUCACAGGAAAAAAAAAUUCACUGCAGAGUUCAUACUAGGUUUUGGUAAGGUUUUGUACCAUAUUGUACCAUUCAUGCCUAAAUAAAUACUUGCGCCGGUGCCCUUCAUAUUUCCAUUGUCUCAGUUCAUAUUAAUUUUCUAAUGCUGACAUUCGCAUUGACAUGCAACCAGUUUGACUUACAAAUUGUCAACACUGUCCAAGUUCUUUGCAAACCCAAUCCAUGAUGAAAAAUAUGAUCUAAUUAUGGACACGGCUGAGAAGUUUCUUCUGCCAAUGACUGUGUUCAACUGGUAUUUAAUAAAGGGAUGGAAUAGGACUGCAUCCAUGCAGUCAUUCAUUAUAUGCACUUCUUGUUAAGUUUAGGUAACGCCUUGAAAAAGUGAAUGUUCCAUCUGUUACCAGAGCUGGUAUCUCAACAAAUAACUUGAUUACCUUGCAAUGAUUCAAACAGUUUAGAAUAGCCAUGGCGAGAGGGACAAUAUUGUCAAAGUUAAUGCUUCCUAAUUUACAAAGGGAAAGAGAGAUUCUAUACCAAAUUACCUUUUGGAUUCAUGUUGAUUGACACAACAAUUGGAAACUUCUCAAACUUUUCUUUCCCUUAAAAGCAAUAUGGGAACAGAACACUUAAAUUUAAGUAGUCAAAACUGAUUUGUGUCAUAAAGAAGACCCUGUAUCUAUUUACUGUUGUCCUAAUCCAAAUUUCCUCAAUAUAAAUGGCAUAGUCAAGAAAAGAAAGCCCUGCAGUAAUCAUGAGCUGACAAAAUCAGCUGAUUUACCAUUUCUGCAGAAAGAUGUACUUGAACCCCCAAGCCCCGUCACAAAUUGUACCCUUUCAAGAUUUUGCAGACUAAACUAAUUAACCUGUCACAUUUGUUAAAUUGCUGCGUAGUCAAUAACUCGUAAAGCAGAGUUCUAUUUUCUCACAGCCACGGUGCAAUCCAGCAUUUGUGUUUCAAUUUAUUUGUUAAAUUAACACUAGAAAAGGAGUGCCACUACGUUAUUUACUGAAAUAAGCAAUAUUACCAAGUACUUGAUAUUCUUGUUGCUGUCAGGUAUUUGUGUAGGCUUUUAGAGCAGGAGGAGGAAGAUACCUUGCUCUGAUCCCCAAGCAAUUGAAUAGCCCACCAGUGAAUUAUAUACAGCAUGGCCAGUUGGAGGAGAUGCUAGUGGGUGGGGAUGGGAUUUGAGUCUAUGAUAUCCCUCAUACUCGACCAGUCUCUAAAUGCUCCAGGUCUAGGAAAGAUUUACAAUAUCUUUCACAAUUUCAGGAUAGUCCAAUGGGGCCCAUUUUACAGACAAUAAGCUACUUUUUGGAAAUUUUACUGUUGCAUGGAUCUGAUGUCAGCCAAGGAACUAUUCAUACUCAAGGAAAACUGAUAAUCUUACAAUUAUACCCAAAAAUUAGUCAACAUUUUGGAUAAAUUUCAAGGUAGGGAAAUAGAAACACUUUAACAGGUGUGGCAUAAGAAAUGCUUCAAAAUAUCAGGUUUCAUUUAGUUCAUGUUAGAAGAAUGGUUUUGAAAUGUCCAACAAUCCUAGAAUCUCUCUAAGUGGUGUUCUAUUAAUCAUAGCUUAUAAAAUUUAACUUGAGCUUAUUUUACUUAAACCCACAUACAAAUUUAAACUGAUGAGAGGAAAGAUGCAAGGGUAUAUGUUUACCAUACCAGUUAUCAGUUACACAUUUUUAAGUGCCAUUUUAUACUGUAUAUUGACAAUCAGAAUCACUUAGUAGUGCGUAUUGACAUUUUAGUAAUGGUCUUUUUAUAACAAUCGUACAACCAAUGCUCAAAGAAGAGUUGGGAAUGACUGGAGUUUGCAUUUGAAGCUAUCUGGUUAGAUAAUCAUGUCAGUUUAUUUGCUUUCAUUAAAUAACUUUCAUACUACAGUUUAUGUUUACAUAUUACAUACAAAAGGAAAAGCAAUAUCCACAUUUUAAGCCACUUGUAUGCUGGUUUUGGAAAACUGACGCUUUGAUUUAGACACACGGAACAAGUAUUUGAACUUGUUUAUAACGCAAAUUGUAAUAUUUGCAUUGAUCACAUUCUUCAGUGUUCCCAAUACCAAAGUGCAAUGAGUCCAUCACUGAUUAAUCAGAUGUUCCCUCUUGGUCUUUAUAAAAACAGCAUUCUUCUGAAAUGAUUCAUUUGUUGAGGUUCAAGACGGUGAAUAGUAGUUGGGUUGGAGGGGUUGGAACACAAUUUAAAAAGCAAGUUAAGAUUGGAGUAAGAAAGGAAUUCAACUUUUUCACCCUAGGAAUGGCAAAGUUGUGGAGCAAGUUAGAAGGAGGGAUUUUGAAGCAGAAAUUUAAGAGGAACAGUUGCAUCUUAGGGCUGAGUGUCAUUGAUUUCUGAAAAUAGGUCAUAUUUUCUGCAAGUGUAUUUGAGGCAUACUUGCACAAACUUAAAAUUCUGCCACCCACCCCUACCAUGGUCAAAUACAGGUCAAAUUGUCUUCAUUCAAAGGAGUGCAUGGCAAUUUUCAGAAUAUUUGCACGCAGUAGAAAUGCUGAUUUUUGCACUAAAACAAAUGGAGUUUGCAUGCAUGUUGUUGCACGAGUAUUUGUAGCAUUCCAGAUCACAAACCAAAUCCGCAGACCACCUGAAACACAGCCUGCUGAAUUGGCUAACAGUUCCUGCAGAAUGGCAAGUCGUGAUCUUUCGGUGGCAUUGAUGAUUUGUUUUCAUUAUUUCCAUUACACCCAUCACAAGUUUUUUUAGAUCAUUAAAACAUUUCAACAAUUGCACAGUUUUUUGAUUGUUGUCACAUGUUAGUUUGUAUGCCACAUUGUAAAUCAUGAUAUUUUGAUUAUUGGCUAAUGAAUUGGUAUCAGGGGAGCAUGAAUGCAAAGAAACUUAUUUUAGAGCAGAGAAGCUUUAUCACAAAUGGCUAUUGGAAGUUGUCAACCACUGUACUUGAAGUGACUAUCUAGUUGCCUUUUCAAGAAAGAUAUUUGUGUCUGGGAGAUAAGCAAGAAAAGUAAAUUAAAGAUGAUUUUCUGUACACGAUGCAAGGACGGGAAUUAAUUGCAAACCAGAGAUCCUGAAGCAAGAUAGAUAAUUAAAAUCCUGACAUUGUUUUAACAUUUUUCCACACUUGCAACGAUAAACAAAAUCUUUCAGUUGUUUUUCUUCAAACAAUAAAUUUGUACACAAAGACAUCUUCAUAUUUUCAUCUGUACUGCUUUCUGGCAGUUGGUAUGUAGAUUGUCCUUAUUUUCAAAAAGAAAAUGAUUUCCCUUUAAAUCUUUAUAACAAUGGGAAAAUCCUUUUUUUGGGAUGAAUGCAUUGUUCAUUCUGAAAAUUUGUAAAGUAGGUGGUCUAUCUGGAAAAGAUGCAGUAUUUCUAAAAUUCAAUUGUUAUGCUUGAAAACAGUGGUCCUGACUUUAAACUUCAAAAUCUUUAUUCAGUUUGAAUGUUAGCAUCCUUCACAAUGGAAUAAUUUUAGUAUAUAAUUUUGUGUAAACUGGUAGACAAAGACUUCCAGUGUGUGGUUUUGAUUAAGGACACCCAUAGAAGUUGCUUUACAAGAGUUUUGAGAUCCUCAAUGCCAACUAAGUUCUUAAAGCAAGUUAUGAAGAAUUGUAGAAUAAUAAUACUGAUUCCAUCAGUGAGGGUGUCAGCCAAUGUCAUAUCUUCAGGUCUUCUCGUGGGAUUUAACCGGAGUAUGCCAACUCAUAGUCUUGUUUUUAAAUUUGUAGCCUUCUUACUUAUGUGGUUAAAACCAGUAACUGUAUACUGUGAUAAUGGGAACUGCAGAUGCUGGAGAUUCCAAGAUAAUAAAAUGUGAGGCUGGAUGAACACAGCUUGGCCUGCUGUGUUCAUCCAGCCUCACAUUUUAUUAACUGUAUACUGUGGUAGUGUGCCGACACAUGUAGGAAGGUGAAUGCUUUAAUGAUUCUGGCCCUUUUUUUUGUGGUUAGCCAGGUUUAAAAUUCAAGAAAUCAUCAUCAUGCUAAUGCAAGUAACCAUACUGUUCUUUGUUUUUUCAAACAACUUACAUAUCCCCUUAACAAUUUGAGGAUACCAUUUUAAUAUAUAUUCCUGGAAGAAGGUUCCACCUUCCACCCACCCUCUGUAUGAAGGUUUUUAUAACUUCCUGUAUGGUUUGUCUUAUUGCCUCUGCUAGCCAUCAGAAAUAGCUUUCCCAUACCAUAUUACUCCUAACCUUGAAGGCAUCCUAUCACGAUGCCCUCCAUCUCCACUCAAGUGAAAAAAGCCCUUGCUUCAGCACUCCCUUUGUAACUCUAAUCUUUCAUAUCUCGUUAUAUGGAUUUAAAUAGUUUGUUUAAGGGCACUGAAGAUAAGACCAACUUAAAAACUUUGAGCUGUUAAGCCUUGCUUUGAACAAACUGAGCCAGAAUCUGAUUGAGCAAUCAAAAUGGGCAAUGUAUAAAGUGCUGGCCUCUUGUCUUGUUUUAAACUGCCAGAAGUUAAAGGUAAUGUUAGAUAAUUCUGCAGCUCUAUUAAUCAACACAUGAGGUCCACUUCUAAAUGUGAUAGAUGAGGCAAUAUCUCUGGAAUAAUUUAAGAAACUGUUGGAGGAAACCAAGUUCCUUCAGGCUGGAUAAAUGGAGAUGAGCCAAAUGAUUCUUCAUGUGAAAGACAGAUACACUUGCAGUCUCUUGAAUAGUUGCCAUGCUCAUCAGUAAGAUUUGCUUAUCAGCUCCAGCCUAAAAUAUUUUGCAGGAGAUGAUUUAAAAGGCAGCUCAAAGCUAUUAGAUUCACUAACCUGUCCCUUUCCUCUGAGGAAUCUCAUGUACAUUCCAAUAUCUCAAAAGCCACUUGAUGUGUUUUUCACUCCAGUCACCAAGACACUAGCCCCAUAGACAAAGCGUUCACUGCCAGGGAUAAAACUGACCUCAGAGACAACCGUUUUUUUAAUGGUAGAAACACAGCAACCAACAGCAGAAUCAAGGAAAUGUUUAAGACUAUUUAUAUUUGAGACCAAAGUAGUUAUAGUAAGAGAUACAGAAAAAAUUCAUAGGCUAUAUGUUCUUUUGUAUUAUGGUUUAUUUUGUUGUUGGGUCAAGCUCAAGCUCAGCAUUUUAGAAUUGAGUUCAUUUGAAUUUAGUGCUUUUAUGUUGAGUGCCCAAACCGGAUUCUGUCUGAAUAAAUCAAGAAGCUUGCAGUAUGAGUAAAUUGCUGCUUUUACUUUGACUCCUGGUAUUAAUCUGUUUUAGUACUUUAUUUUUUGCUGUUGCAUUUGUGACUUGCUGUACAAAUUGACAUUGUACAAUGUAAGAAAAAAUUAUUUGAAUCAACUUAGCGCAUCUUCCUCCUGAUCUUACAUCUGGAUUUUUUUUUUAAAAUCAAUAAUGGGAGGUCACAAUCUUCAUUGAGCUGCUUAACCUUUCAGUCAAAGACCAUUCUAGAGCAGAGAAUUGUUAAAGUUUUUCAUUAAAUAUCUGUUUUGUUGUAAAGAAUCAUGUUAUUUGCAUAUUUAUAAGAAUGCUCACAUUUAUAAGAUCUAAGAAAUAUCAGAAGAUGAGGGCAAACUAAUUUUGGAAAGGUAUCACAUAACUUAGAAGCUUGAAUUUAGAAAGUAAAUGGGGGGGGGUGGUGGUGUGUGUGAGGAAUUUCAUGCUAUCAACCAUAAUUAUAAAAUAGCCACUGAAAUUCUAUAGGAAUUCAGGAAAAACUUAGUCAAAAGGUGGUUAGAGAAUGGAACUCACUACCACGUAGAGUGCUUGAAAGAAUUUAUGUAGAUGCGUUUAUGGAGAAGCUAGAUAAUCACAUGAGGGAAAGAGGAUAAAAGAAUAUGCUGAGGGUUUGAUGAAAGUACAAUGUGCAGCGUAAGCAUUGACCCAGACCUGUUGAGCAAAAUGGACUAUUUCUCUGCUACUAAACCUAUGUAAAUGCAUUAAGUGUUUGAUAUCUAUGUGUAAGUUGAUCUCAAAAAUUGUUACUGUAGAGAACACAAUCUCCAAAGACAAUACCAUUCUUUUUUCACAUGCAGACUUUGAAAAUUUUAUGAAAUGAGAGGUAUGGCAUCAACCACUAGCACACAACUGUAGUGAUUUCUUAUUUGAGUGAGAAUGAUCUGCGACGAUUAGACCAACCUAAAGCACUUUGCAUUAAUAUUAGGUCUUUUUAAUCUUCAUUUACAUUUUGCAUGCUUUUAAGAUUAUGAUUAAGACUUGUUUGGUCAGCCCAAGUGACAGACAUGUAACACUACUGUAGUUGACCAAGCUCCACUAAGUUAUGGAAUGUUAAUUGUAUGGAUAGGUUUAUCACCACAUUUAAUUCUGAUCAAGGAAUUGAUAUAAAUCAAUUAAAUAUUUUGUAUUUAGAACUUUUUUAACUUUUUGCAAGGGUGGCAUUCUGUUCGUUAAUUUCAGUUAGCUUAACACAAGAAGUGUCAAUUUUCAUUGUAAUGAUUAAAAACACUGGUUGUUUAACUGCACAUAUGCCAUGAAUUCCUGGCCAGUUUUGGUUUGUUACACUGGAGAAUUGUUCUAUUAAGUAAGCUUCAAUUAUUUUUGUCUCCUGUAUGGUUCCUGGAAUGUUUUGGGUGUAUUUUCAGCAUAACUGUCUCCUUAUUUUAAAAUGAUGUCAGAAUAUAGAAAAUAAACUGGAUUAUUAUAAAA